GAUCGAAAGUCGAAGUCGCUUUCCGUACACGGAACGGAACGGACGUGUUUCUCUCUGCUCCUCGAACGAAUAUUAUAUCGUAUUUAAUAAAUGAAUAAAUCCAGUGCAAAUAAUUAUAAAUAAAUUAAACAUCAAUUGUAAAAAAAGUAAAGAAACGUAAUAAAAGAUCGAAUCGAUAUUUCGCAACGAUACAUAUAAUAUAAUAUAUAAUAUAUAAAUAACGUAAUAUAUACGAUACAUAAGUAAUAUAUUUUAAUCAAAUAACAAAUAAUUAAACUAACAUGCACGUAUGAAACGUUGGACAUUAAUGGAUUAAGUCAAUUUAAUUUCUUGAAUCGUAUAAACAGGGAUUUUCGAAUAAAUUUUUGUUAUGUCAAAAUGAAGAAAAAAAAAAAAAAGAAAAGAGGAAUACACGCUUUGGAAUAAAAAAAAGAAAGCGUUUUUUUUCGAAAGGGAGUUUUUUCCAGAUAUAUCACUGACGGAUUUAAUUAAAAAUUUUGGAACGAAAAAAAAAAAGGAAGAAUCGUAGUCGUACACGUGGAACGAAUGGAAAAGAGCGUAGGGAGGAAAGAAUCGAUCGAUCAUCAAUGUGUCGUUGAAAUACGACUUUGAAACGCGUGGAUAUUUUAUCGUGGCAAACAAUGAUCCACUUUAAUAAAACUCUAAUUGCGAUUAAAUCGAUCGCGGUGGACAACGGCUUUGAAAAAUUGCGAAAUGUUUAUGGAAGCGUGUAAUUUAUAAACGAUAGUUAAUACGUUUAAAAUUUGUAACACAAUAAAAAUUACAUUCUUUACGAAGAUUCGGAACAAACGAAA